UGUGUGUUAAGAGUUUCAAAGGAACAAAAUGUUCAAGAUUGACACACAAACAAACCAUAGCAUCAUGGACACUGCCUAUAGGCCUAGUUAAACUGGGUCAAAAAGGAAUCUGUAAGAAAACAUUGCAUUUAACCUGGUUUAGAAGGACAGUCAAUACAAUGUGCUGAUAUGAUCAUUAUAGGCAGUGUAAAUUAUUUUGGGACAUUUCUUUAGCAAGUCUAUAUGACGAAGUCAAACCAUUCUUCAGUCCUUUAAUACUGGUAUAGUGUAGCUACAGGUACUCUGAUUAAACAGAUAUAUUGCUCCCUCACUGUUUUCCUUACAGGCCUGUCUGCCCACUCCUCCUAGCUUUCGUUCUUUGUCAACAUGUCUUGAACAGAAACUAAACACGACCAGCAUUAAUUCUAAUAGGGUGGGGUAAAACUCGGAAUACACAUACAGCCAAUAGGAGUGCAGUGCCACCCCAAAUGGGCACGGUGCCUAUAAAGUCACCGAGCGGGUUUGCCAGUCGCAUUCCUUUCACUCCAGUGACAGACUCUCUCUCUCUCCCCCGCCAACCUCACACUUAGAGCCGUCACUCACCCUAGUCAGGGGCUGUAUGUAGCCUAUCAAGCGUCUCAGAGUGCUGGUUUAGGAUGGGUUUACCUUUAAGAUCACAAUGGAUAAGUUGAUAUGGACAGGGGGUGUGCCAGUCGCAUUCCUUACACUACAGUGACCGACACACAGACAGACACAUACACACAAUUCAGGUGGAACGGAAGUUGUUACACAUUCAGUUAUUUGUCAAUAUAUAUAUCUAAAACCAAUGAACCAGGACAGCAUGGGGCUCCCGAGAGGUGCGGUGGUCUAAACCACUGCAUCUCAGUCAUAGAGGCGUCACUAAAGACCCUGGUUCAAUCCCGGGCUGUAUCACAACCGGCCGUGAUCAAAAGUCCCAUAGGACGGCACACAAUUGGCCCAGCGUCGUCCGGGUUAGGGGAGGGUUUGGCCGGGGUGGGCCGUCAUUGUAAAAUAUAAGAAUUUGUUCUUAACUGACUUGCCGAGUUAAAUAAAGGUUCAAUCAAAUAAAUGAUGACAUGACUUUGAUACAGAGAUUUAAAUCACACUUCCCCCCCUAGGUGUUUUUUUGUACCUGAUCUCUGGAACCUGCUGCUCUCCUCUCUCCUUUUUCCCUUUCUCUCCUCCUUUCUUUCUUUCCCAGGGGCCUGCUGAGAGACACUUAACUGAUUCACAGUCAAUGAUUUACACUCGGGAGUGGAGACAGACCGCCAACGCUUUGCUGGACUGAGCCCAUCAUAACUGUACGCUGGACUGAAAAGAAGACUAUAAUACGAUAGUCUUCCUAUACUAGAGGGGAACUUCAAAGUGAACCACAACAGCAGUAGCACGAAAUGUGUGAGCAGCAGCUACAGCUUAAAAGUGGAUCCACAGAAACAUCCCAUGACAUCAUGGAAUGUUGACACGGCGCUGUCUCAAGGGGAACGUGGGCAGACGUUUUGUGGCAGCACGCAUAGGCAGACCAUGACUGUUACGUCUUGGAACACACCUCUGGAGUACCUCUCUCAGAGGUAAAUACAGGACAUCUCCAGGCUGUGUAAGAGCUAUUUGACUAAGGAGGAGAUUGAUGGAGGGCUGCAUCAGAUGACCUGAUCACAACAUAUGCCUAGUUUCCUGAAAUUAGUCACAUAUGAAUAGUGUGUAAAUAUUUUUGUUGUCUCUUGGUGUCUUUCCUUUGAAUUUAAUGUAUGUCAUAUGUUGUUCUUGUCUAUUACUGUUCUGUACAUUUUAUGUGGACCCCAGGAAAAGUAGCUGCUGCAUGUGCAUUUAAACCCAAGCCACCCUAAAUACUAUUCAUUAUUGUUACUUUAUUUUAUUUGUGUAUCCUUUACAAAUGUAAAAAAAUAUAUAUGUUAACAUUUUAGAUGUAAUAAACAGU